CACGUAGGGGCCAAGCGUUGUCCGGAUUCAUUGGGCGUAAAGAGCUCGUAGGCGGUUCAGUUAGUCGGGUGUGAAAUCUCCGGGCUCAACCCGGAGGGGCCACCCGAUACUGCUGUGACUUGAGUCCGGUAGGGGAGUGGGGAAUUCCUGGUGUAGCGGUGAAAUGCGCAGAUAUCAGGAGGAACACCGGUGGCGAAGGCGGGUCUCUGGGCAAUUCCUGACGCUGAGGCGCGAAAGCUAGGGGAGCAAACAGG
rnacentral:rRNA from 1 species